UACCAGACUCCUACGGGAGGCAGCAGUGGGGGAUAUUGCACAAUGGGGGAAACCCUGAUGCAGCGACGCCGCGUGAGUGAAGAAGUAUUUCGGUAUGUAAAGCUCUCUCAGCAGGGAAGAAAAAAGACGGUACCUGACUAAGAAGCCCCGGCUAACUACGUGCCAGCAGCCGCGGUAAUACGUAGGGGGCAAGCGUUAUCCGGAUUUACUGGGUGUAAAGGGAGCGUAGACGGCAAUACAAGCCAGGAGUGAAAGCCCGGGGCCCAACCCCGGGACUGCUCUUGGAACUGCAUGGCUGGAGUACAGGAGGGGCAGGCGGAAUUCCUAGUGUAGCGGUGAAAUGCGUAGAUAUUAGGAGGAACACCGGUGGCGAAGGCGGCCUGCUGGACUGUGACUGACGUUGAGGCCCGAAGGCGUGGGGAGCAAACAGGAUUAGAUACCCUAGUACGA
rnacentral:rRNA from 1 species